rnacentral:lncRNA from 1 species
AAAGCACUGUGGAAAAAAAUUGUGAAAAUUAAGAAAUUCAGAGACACAAAGGUAGAAAUCAAACAGCAAUUCUCUUUCUACCUGGUGGAGAGAGAGCUAUUGCACCACGAGUGCUGUACAAUUCUCACAGAAAAGGGUCCGAGUCCUAUGCACUGUUUUGAAAACCACUCCUUUGUUCGAAAUGAAAUCUUAAUUUGUUUCCAAGUUAACAACAACUAGCUUUCUGCAAUGUCGGCGACUGCAAAGCGAGGACCGUGGACCAGGUGAGCAGAUGGGCAUUUUCCUAAUGCUGGGCAUUUAAAGCCACGUGCAAUUCUUUAUUUUAAAUAAUGUUUCUGUGAAUUAGCUUGUCUUUACUUAAUUAGUUACUUAGUGAGUUAUUUAGUUAUUUUACUUUUCCUUUGAGAUGUAUGCCAGAUUCAUGACCAGCCACAGAGGGGAGAGGUUAGAGGAAGUUUGAGUGUGAUGUAUUGGUUCCCUUCUCUUCCUUCUCCUUUCUGUCUUUUGCAGAUCAAGCACUGAGAGGUCCUCAGCCCCUACAGCACUAAUGAAUGCCUCACAUCUCCUGGUUGACCUUACAGCAUGUGGGAAGGGAAUUCUAAAGCCCCACUGAGAUGGUCAGGGAAUCCCUGGGGGUAAAAAAGAGGUGGGAUUUCUGUUCUAGGUCCUUCAGGCAAAGAGGAAUGAGCAUAGCCUGCCUCUUGGAAGGAGCGGUGGGGAAAGACAAGCCAUCUCUCAAACAUACGCACGUAAGCACGCACGCACGCAUGCAUUCCCCCAUCACUGCAAGGUCAGCGCAAAGGGUGGGACUGGGAGUCAACAGGCC